UACGUAGGGUGCGAGCGUUAAUCGGAAUUACUGGGCGUAAAGUGUGCGCAGGCGGCCGAGCAAGUCGAGUGUGAAAGCCCCGAGCUUAACUUGGGAACUGCGCUCGAAACUACUUGGCUAAAAUGUGGCAGAGGGAGGUGGAAUUCCACGUGUAGCGGUGAAAUGCGUAGAGAUGUGGAGGAACACCGAUGGCGAAGGCAGCCUCCUGGGCCAACACUGACGCUCAUGCACGAAAGCGUGGGGAGCAAACAGG
rnacentral:rRNA from 1 species